rnacentral:rRNA from 1 species
AUUGAACGCUGGCGGCAGGCCUAACACAUGCAAGUCGAGCGAGCGGCGGAUGGGUGAGUAAUGUCUGGGAAACUGCCUGAUGGAGGGGGAUAACUACUGGAUACGGUAGCUAAUACCGCAUACAAUCAGAUGUGCCCAGAUGGGAUUAGCGAGUAGGUGGGGUAACGGCUCACCUAGGCGACGAUCCCUAGCUGGUCUGAAAGGAUGACCAUCCACACUGGAACUGAGACGCGGUCCAGGAUCCUACUGGAGACAGCAGUAGGGAUUAUUGCACAAUGGACGCAAGCCUUAUGGAGCCAUGCCGGGGGUGUGAAGAAGGCCGUCGGGUUGUAAAGCACUUUCGGCGGGGGGGCGUUACCCGCAGAAGAAGCAACUGCUAACUCCGUGCCAGCAGCCGCGGUAAUUC